rfam:Macleaya cordata isolate BLH2017 scaffold7121, whole genome shotgun sequence.
GGGUGAAUGGCAGGGCAAUUCUCCCUUGGCGGAUAGAAAGCUAUAGGUGUUAACGACGAACUGUAAUGUCUUUCUCUCUGCCAAAGGAGAAUUGCACUGUUAUUCAUCA